UAGAGGAAGUAAAAGUCGUAACAAGGUUUCCGUAGGUGAACCUGCGGAAGGAUCAUUAACGAGUUUGAAGUGGGUUUGAUGCUGGCCUGCGUAACACCAGGCAUGUGCUCGCCCCGCUCAUCCACUCAACACCUGUGCACCUUUGAGGCAAUUUGCCCUCCAUUAACUUGGAGCCGUUCCCUUGCUUUCACGAGCUGAGGUUGAGCCGGGGCGAAUUGUUUCACUUUACAAACAUACACCACAAAGUUUAGUAGAAUGUAACCGCCGUUAAGGCAAAAACUUAAUACAACUUUCAACAACGGAUCUCUUGGCUCUCGCAUCGAUGAAGAACGCAGCGAAAUGCGAUAAGUAAUGUGAAUUGCAGAAUUCAGUGAAUCAUCGAAUCUUUGAACGCACCUUGCGCUCCUUGGUAUUCCGAGGAGCAUGCCUGUUUGAGUGUCAUGAAAUUCUCAACCUCUUCUUGCUUUGCGGCUUGAAGUAGGCUUGGAUUUGGGAGCUGCUGGUUUAACAAUCGGCUCUCCUUGAAUGCAUUAGCUGGACUUUCCGAUUUAAUAGCGGUUUCACGGUGUGAUAACUAUCUACGCCUGGUAAAUCCUAUUAGGUCUGUCUGGUCGAGCUUCUAACCAGUUCGUCCUUUGCUGGACAAACACUUUUAAGAUCUGACCUCAAAUCAGGUAGGACUACCCGCUGAAACUUAAGCAUAU
rnacentral:rRNA from 1 species